GGCUAUCAUUUCACAAAAUUCGCCAUAUUGAUGAGUGAUUUUACGAAAAGAGACCGUUUUUCUUCUUUGGCUUGAACGUUGUGUUGUUAAAUACUAACAAAAUUGUUUUAAGGCAGUCUGAAAUGACGGCUGGUGAAGAGAUAUUAGACAACCGACCCAAACGAAAGUUCGUUUGUGGAGCAGUCGAAGGAUUUUAUGGAAGACCAUGGACCACAGAGCAGAGGAAGAUUCUAUUUGAAUGGUUGAAAAAGAUGAAGAUGAACACAUACAUGUAUGCUCCCAAAGAUGACUGUAAACACAGGGCCUUUUGGCGAGAUCUCUACUCUGUGGAAGAAGCAGAGAAUUUGACCUCCCUGAUUGAAGCAGCCAAGGAGAAUGGUGUUGAGUUUGUAUACGCACUGUCCCCAGGCCUGGAUAUCACAUUCUCAAGUGCCAAAGACGUACAGUUCCUGAAACGCAAACUAGAACAGGUGACAAGUUUUGGCUGUACGGCGUUUGCCUUGCUGUUUGACGACAUAGAGCCGGGAUUAAGUGAGACAGACCGUAGCGUGUUUCAGUCUUUUGGAUCAGCCCAAGUAGCUGUCACUAAUGAAGUCUAUCAGCACCUGGGACAACCUCAGUUCUAUUUCUGUCCAACAGAAUAUUGUUCGUCGAGAGCUGUCCCUAACUUGCUGUCAUCAGAUUACCUAAACACUCUAGGAGCCAAACUCCUAAAGGACAUCGACAUCUUGUGGACAGGUCAAAAGGUGAUCUCCAAGAAGCUGACCAUCCAACACUUGCAGGAAGUGUCCUCAGUCAUAAAGCGCCCCCCUGUCAUCUGGGACAACAUCCACGCUAACGACUACGACCCCAGGCGCAUGUUUCUGGGACCCUUUGACGGUCGAUCCCCCGAGAUCAUUCCUUACCUGCGUGGACUACUUACAAACCCUAACUGUGAGUUUGAGGCCAACUAUAUGGCUCUCCACACGCUGGGUCAGUGGAGUACCUCCAACAACGACGGAUUGAAGAAGGACAUCAUUGCAGAUGGUGAACAUCUGAGUCCAGUGGCAUCAGAUAUAAGACUUGAAACAGAGAAUGAUUUUGGUGCUAAUGAGGAUCUGCCCUCUCGCAUCGACAAACGAUACCAGGCCAGGUUGGCACUGAACAUUGCUCUGAACGACUGGAUGCAGGAGAUCAACACCAACCGCCAGCCGCCGCGUGUAGUGGCCCCCCUCACAAUCACCGGUCCUCCCAUUCCUAUCCCCCCAGUUCCGGCACCACCCAUGGACAACAGUGCCACUGCAGUGUGUGGGGAAAAUAUGGCAGCCUCUUUCACUGGAAACCAGCCAGUGGUUUCCCAGGGAAACCUUGUGAAUUCCACCAUUCCUUCAGACAGCGAGUCUGAACUUUCUGAAGACCCAGAGCCCAUGGAGUAUGUCCCUUCAGCUGUGUCCACAUCGGAUGGCUGUAAGGACAUCUCCACGGUGGUUCCUGCUGAGGACGCCAUGCAGGUGGAGACAGAGAUGCCCUCGGUGGUCAUUGACAAAGACUGCUGCAUGACCAACCCCGAAAACUUCACUCGCGAGGACCUUGGUCUGCUGGUAGACUUUUUCUACACGCCGUUUGACCAUGGAAUGACCAGCACGCAAUUGUUACAGGACUUACAUUUCCUAAAGGUCAAUGCUGGGGUGGUGGUCCAGGGUCAGGCAAAGACAAAUCUCGCCGAAGCGACCGCCUGGAUGGAGGCCGCAGACAAGUUCUUGGCUGUGGUACAGAAAGUGGAUAGGAUGAUCCGACUCCUCCAGAUGAUUCCUAACACUGCUGUUGUUCACGAGUUCUUCUCCUAUCUCUGGGAUCUCCAGGGAUUAAUUCAGCUCUGUGCUUGUUAUGUUCAGUGGCUCAAACUUGGACAAAUCAAAGAAUCUGCUUUACCAAGGCUGUCUGAACCAUCUCCUAAUUCUCCUACAUCGUUUGUUGCCGAGUGACGGUGCCCAUGACCUUUUCCUGAUGCGACCUCCAGAGGUCCUACUGAAGAAAAUGUACAGCUAUCGGCCAUACCAACUCUCUGAUGAGGCAUCUACUUACAACAUCUGUUUGCGCACAUGUGAUGAUGGAAUGGAUGGAACAGAAGUGUUUCCAGACUAUCCCAAUCUUAUUGCUGACAGAAUUAUUGGUGCGAUCGUCUCGCUCAGCCCCGAGUACUGUUUUGUGGUCUGUGAUGACCAAGGAGUCUGUGGAUAUGCACUGGCCUCAUUAAAUGCCGUGGAGCUACGCCAAAAGACAGAGGUGUCCUGGAUACCAGCCAUGUACCAGAAGUACCCCAAACCCAGCAAGGAGGAGCUGACCCCCAGCGAGGAAGUCAUAAUGAGUUUCCACACUCCCCAGCGCUGCACGCCUCUCUCUGUGACCCAGCGCUAUCCCUCCGUUAUCCGUCUGGAUUUUAUUCCAGCCCGCGUGGAGGACUACAGUGUUCCCAAAAGGCUGCUGGCGUGUGCAGUGAUGGCGCUGAAGACGAGUGGAUCAACAGGAAUCCAUGUGGAGAUGAACGUCGGAGACAAAUGUAUGAUUGACCACUACCAGAGGAUGGGCUUCUUCCCGAUUGUGGACAUCCCUGGGGCUCCCGACGAUGUUGUGUACCUGGGCAGGGCCAUCUAAUGGUCACUGCCCAAUCAGCAUUCCAGACGGAGGACCAUGUGACGGAUUCGACCAAUAGGAAGUCUGGCCACCGUCUCUAAAGUGUCCAUGUAACCUCAUUGCUUACCCAGCAUCUCUCUGUACCGUUAUAUCGACCCAGAAGUUAUGAUACAUCUGAUGUUCAUGACUGGUUGCAAUACUGUGAUGGAAAUAGAGAGGUGCUUUUAUAAAAGUGCUCAGUUGAGUUAUAUUGCAAAAUACGAAAUAAAUGCUCGAUGUUCUAUUUGUUGUACAAGUCAUUGAUCUAAACUCUGCUAAUCUUGGCUGUGAUGUUACAAGUAGUGCAUAUUUUGUGGAUCAUUUAUAAAUAAAAGAAUAAACAUUC
rnacentral:misc_RNA from 1 species